rnacentral:misc_RNA from 1 species
UUAUAAAUUCGGAGGGAGUGACGAGAAACUUCUAUCCUGGGGACAAACUUCCACUGUGGCAUGAAGAGUUGGAGCCGCAUAAUUCAUUGUUGGAUAUUAUAAAUGCUUCUGGUCCUGAGCCAAUGCACAUGUGAUGAAGUGAAAGAUGGCCUGCAUAUUUUAGUAUUUCUAUCUGUAGAUUGACUGAUGCAUUUAUUUUUCUUUGUUGCCUGCACCCUUUGUCAGAUGGGAUUUUUAAUGGUUU